GAAAUGCGAUAAGUAAUGGGAAUUGCAGAAUUCAGUGAAUCAUCGAAUCUUUGAACGCACCUUGCGCUCCUUGGUAUUCCUUGGAGCAUGUCUGUUUGAGUAUCAUGAAAUCUUCAAAGUAAAUCUUUUGUUAACUCAAUUGGUUUCUACUUUGGUAUUGGAGGUCUUUGCAGCUUCACACCUGCUCCUCUUUGUUCAUUAGCUGGAUCUCAGUGUUAUGCUUGGUUCCACUCGGCGUGAUAAGUUAUCUAUCGCUGAGGACACUGUAAAAGGUGGCCAAGGUAAAUGCAGAUGAACCGCUUCUAAUAGUCCAUUGACUUGGACAAUACUUUUAUGAUCUGAUCUCAAAUCAGGUAGGACUACCCGCUGAACUUAAGC
rnacentral:misc_RNA from 1 species